UACGGAGGGGGCUAGCGUUGUUCGGAAUUACUGGGCGUAAAGCGCACGUAGGCGGCUUUGUAAGUUAGAGGUGAAAGCCCGGGGCUCAACUCCGGAAUUGCCUUUUAAGACUGCAUCGCUAGAAUUGUGGAGAGGUAAGUGGAAUUCCGAGUGUAGAGGUGAAAUUCGUAGAUAUUCGGAAGAACACCAGUGGCGAAGGCGACUUACUGGACACAUAUUGACGCUGAGGUGCGAAAAGCGUGGGGGAGCAAACAGG
rnacentral:rRNA from 1 species